GGCUGUGGAAGGAAGAAUGGAAAUUGCAAUAAUAAAAUCCUAAUUCUAAUAAAAUACUAACAAUGCUCUAAUUAGACCAUAAUAAUGCUAAGCAAGCAUAAUCAAAUUCAAAAAAACCUCAAAGAAAUUUCAAACAAACAAUAAAAAUUCUUAAAGAAAUAUUAGAAGGAUCACAAAUAUCACUCAAAUAUAUCUCAAUUCAAUCUUAAUUUAAUUCUAGUUAAAAUCCUAUUGAACUUCAUUAAAACUUUAGGCCAAAACUAAUUGAAUCUUAAAUCCUAAUAAAAUCCUAAAUCCUAAAUAAAAUCUCAACUAAAUCCUAAACCAAAUCCUAACCAAAUCCUAAAUCCUAAAUAAACCCAAACCAAAUCCUAAUCCAAACCCUAAACCCUAGACCAAAUCCUAAUCAAAUCCUAAAUCCUAAAUCAAACCCUAAUCCAAAUCCUAAUCCCUAAACCAAAUCCUAACCAAACCCUAAUCCUAAACCAAAUCCUAAUCCAAAACCUAAAUCCUAAACCUUAAAUCAAACCCUAAUCUAAACCCUAAUCAAACCUUAAACCAAAUCCUAAACCAAAUCCUAACCAAA
rnacentral:lncRNA from 1 species